AUUCUACUCCCUCCGUUGCACAAUACAUGCCUUCUAUUUGUCAAAAUAUAUAUGUAUCUAGACAUGUUUUAGUAUAUAGGUACAUCCAUUUUUGGACAAAUGUAAGUCAAGUAUUUUGGAACGGAGGGAGUACACA
rnacentral:pre_miRNA from 1 species